AUUGAACGCUGGCGGCAUGCCUUACACAUGCAAGUCGAACGGCAGCACGGGAGCAAUCCUGGUGGCGAGUAGCGAACGGGUGAGUAAUAUAUCGGAACGUGCCCAGUCGUGGGGGAUAACGUAGCGAAAGCUACGCUAAUACCGCAUACGAUCUACGGAUGAAAGCGGGGGAUCGCAAGACCUCGCGCGAUUGGAGCGGCCGAUAUCAGAUUAGGUAGUUGGUGAGGUAAAGGCUCACCAAGCCGACGAUCUGUAGCUGGUCUGAGAGGACGACCAGCCACACUGGGACUGAGACACGGCCCAGACUCCUACGGGAGGCAGCAGUGGGGAAUUUUGGACAAUGGGCGCAAGCCUGAUCCAGCAAUGCCGCGUGCAGGAUGAAGGCCUUCGGGUUGUAAACUGCUUUUGUACGGAACGAAACGGCGAGCUCUAAUACAGUUUGCUAAUGACGGUACCGUAAGAAUAAGCACCGGCUAACUACGUGCCAGCAGCCGCAGUAA
rnacentral:rRNA from 1 species